rnacentral:tRNA from 1 species
GGGGUUGUGGCUCAGUGGUAGAGUGCUCGCCUAGCACGUGUGAGGCACUAGGUUCGAGCCUCAGCACCA